GAUGAACGCUAGCGGCAGGCUUAAUACAUGCAAGUCGUGGGGCAGCAUGAGUAGCAAUACUUGAUGGCGACCGGCAAACGGGUGCGGAACACGUACACAACCUUCCGAUAAGUGGGGAAUAGCCCAGAGAACUUUGGAUUAAUACCCCGUAACAUAUAGAGUAGGCAUCUUCUUUAUAUUAUAGCUUCGGCGCUUAUUGAUGGGUGUGCGUCUGAUUAGGUAGUUGGCGGGGUAACGGCCCACCAAGCCUACGAUCAGUAGCUGAUGUGAGAGCAUGCUCAGGCACACGGGCGCUGAGACACGGGCCCGACUCCUACGGGAGGCAGCAGUCAGGAAUAUUGGACAAUGGGCGAAAGCCUGAUCCAGCCAUGCCGCGUGAAGGAUUAAGGUCCUCUGGAUUGUAAACUUCUUUUAUUUGGGACGAAAAAAGGGAAUUCUUUCCCACUUGACGGUACCAAGUGAAUAAGCACCGGCUAACUCCGUUCCAGCCGCCGCGGUAA
rnacentral:rRNA from 1 species